CGCUGGCGGCGUGCCUACACAUGCAAGUCGAACGGGGUAAUCCUUCGGGGUACUUAGUGGCGAACGGGUGAGUAACGCGUGAGAAACCUGCCUUUCAGUGGGGGGACAACAGUUGGAAACGACUGCUAAUACCGCAUGAGACCACAGAGGGGCAUCCUUCGGGGGUCAAAGAUUUAUCGGUAAGAGGUGGGCUCGCGUCUGAUUAGAUAGUUGGUGGGGUAACGGCCUACCAAGUCGACGAUCAGUAGCCGACCUGAGAGGGUGAUCGGCCACAUUGGGACUGAGACACGGCCCAAACUCCUACGGGAGGCAGCAGUGGGGAAUAUUGCACAAUGGGGGAAACCCUGAUGCAGCAACGCCGCGUGAGUGAAGAAGUAUUUCGGUAUGUAAAGCUCUGUCAGCAGGGAAGAAAAUGACGGUACCUGACUAAGAAGCCCCGGCUAACUACGUG
rnacentral:rRNA from 1 species